rnacentral:rRNA from 1 species
GACGAACGCUGGCGGCGUGCUUAACACAUGCAAGUCGAACGGAAAGGCCCUGCUUUUGUGGGGUGCUCGAGUGGCGAACGGGUGAGUAACACGUGAGUAACCUGCCCUUGACUUUGGGAUAACUUCAGGAAACUGGGGCUAAUACCGGAUAGGAGCUCCUGCUGCAUGGUGGGGGUUGGAAAGUUUCGGCGGUUGGGGAUGGACUCGCGGCUUAUCAGCUUGUUGGUGGGGUAGUGGCUUACCAAGGCUUUGACGGGUAGCCGGCCUGAGAGGGUGACCGGCCACAUUGGGACUGAGAUACGGCCCAGACUCCUACGGGAGGCAGCAGUGGGGAAUAUUGCACAAUGGGCGGAAGCCUGAUGCAGCAACGCCGCGUGCGGGAUGACGGCCUUCGGGUUGUAAACCGCUUUCGCCUGUGACGAAGCGUGAGUGGCGGUAAUGGGUAAAGAAGCACCGGCUAACUAAGUG